UACGUAGGGGGCUAGCGUUGUUCGGAAUCACUGGGCGUAAAGCGCACGCAGGCGGAUCGAUAAGUCGGGGGUGAAAGCCCGGGGCUUAACCUCGGAAGUGCCUCCGAUACUGCCGGUCUCGAGGCCGGGAGAGGUGAGUGGAAUUCCUAGUGUAGAGGUGAAAUUCGUAGAUAUUAGGAAGAACACCAGUGGCGAAGGCGGCUCACUGGCCCGGUCCUGACGCUCAGGUGCGAAAGCGUGGGGAGCAAACAGG
rnacentral:rRNA from 1 species